UUAGAUGGGAUCCGAAAGCUCAUCUUCAUCAAGAAGAAGCGGGACAGCCCCGACAGUGAGAAGUCCUCCCGGGCAGCGUCCAGCCUCCUGGCCAACCUGUGGCAGUACAACAAGCUCCACCGUGACUUCCGGGCGAAGGGCUAUCGGAAGGAGGACUUCCUGGGCCCAUAGGUGAAGCCUUCUGGAGGAGAAGGUGACGUGGCCCAGCGUCCAAGGGACAGACUCAGCUCCGGGCUGCUUGGCAGCCCAGCCUGGAGGAGAAGGCUAAUGACGGAGGGGCCCCUCGCUGGGACCCCUGUGUGCAUCUUUGAGGGUCCUGGGCCACCAGGAGGGGCAGGGUCUUAUAGCUGGGGACUUGGCUUCCGCAGGGCAGGGGGUGGGGCAGGGCUCAAGGCUGCUCUGGUGUAUGGGGUGGUGACCCAGUCACAUUGGCAGAGGUGGGGUUGGCUGUGGCCUGGCAGUAUCUUGGGAUAGCCAGCACUGGGAAUAAAGAUGGCCA
rnacentral:lncRNA from 1 species